rnacentral:lncRNA from 1 species
GUGACUAAUCAGACUGAGUUCUUAUCAAUUGAGUUCUUCCUUUCUUAGUUUCAUAGUAGAGCUUACACCAUGAAUGAUUGAUCUGACUAAGUUUUCUUCAUUUUUUGUUGUUUCGAAAUGGUGUUUUGUGUACUUCUCUUUUUUGCUUCUCGUCGAAUCACUUUCUAUGGUACAUGUUGUUUUAGGAGUGACUAAUCUGAUUGAGUUUUUCAUUUGACGUUAAAUAAUGUUUCAAGUUCUAAUCACUUCUCAUUUGUUUCUUCAUUUCUCAGUUUCAUAUUGUAUAUACCAGGAUUGACUGAACAGACUGAGUUUCUAUCAUUUAAGUUUUAUAGUAUAGUUUACAACAAUGGAAAUGACUAAUCAGACUGAGUUCUAAUCAUUUGAGCUUAGUUUUUGAAAUUAUAUUUCAUGUUAUAACAACUUUUCACUAUUGUUUCUUCUUUUCUCAGUUUUAUAGUACAGUAAUGAGUGACUGAUGAGACUCUCAGUUUUAUAGUAUAGUUUAAAAUACCACCAGUGACUGAUCAGAUUGAGUUUUAUCAUUUAAAACUGGUUUUUCGUAAUGACAUUUUAUGUUUUGCUUACUUGUCACCAUUUGUACUUUCUAUUCUCAGUUUUAUGCCAGGAGUGACAAAUCAGUCUGAUUUUUUAUCAUUUAAGAUUUGUUUCACAGUAAAGUUUAAAAUGCCAGAACAAAGUUCUUACUAUUUGAGGUUUAUAGUAAAGUUUAUACCACAAAUGACUAAUCAUACGAAUUUUAUUAUUUAAGGUUUUUUUUGAAAUGUUUUAUUUCUGCUUAUUUUCCCCAUUUGUUCCCUUUUCUCAGUUUAUUAGUAUUGUUUAUACCAGGAGUGAUAAAUCAGUAUGACUUCUGAUUAUUUGAGAUUGUGUUAGCAAUGAUGUUUUAUGGUACUACUCCUCACUAUUUCUUUCUUUUUCAGUUUUAUAGUAUGGUAUAGAAUACCAUAAGUAACGAAUGGCUAAUCUGAGUUUAUAUUAUUUGAGGUUUUUUGAAAUUAUUUUACAUUAUGUGUUCCACUCACUUCACAUUUGUCUUUUCUUUUCCCAGUUUUAUUGUAUAGUGUGUACCUAAAACAACUAAUCAGACUAAGUUUUUAUCAUUUGCGGUUCAUUUUAAAAUGUUUCAUGUACUUUUGACUUCUCAUUUUUUUAGUAUUAUGGUACGGUUUAUACCUGGAGGGACUGAUCAAACUGAGUUCUUAUCUUUUGAUGUUGAAACGUUUUUGAAAUAAUGUUUUAUGUUCUACUCCUCUUUUGUUUUCUCUUUUGUCACUUUCAUAGAUAUAUAUAUAGUUUAAACUACCACCAGUGACUGAUCAGACUGAGUUCUUAUCAUUUGAGGUUGGUGUUAGAAAUGUUUCAUGUUCUACUCAUUUUUCCUUUCUCAGUUUCAUGGUAUAAGAGUUUAGGCUGUGUCUAAUGCUCCGGUAACCAUUAAAUAUCUGAGUCUAUUUUUUGUCCGUGAAGCAGCUUGUGCGCAUGUGCAAUAGAGCAAAUUGGAACACUAAACCCGAAUCCCAAAAACCCUACAAUUCCGGAGGCUAAGAUGUACAAGAGGGUGCCUAAAAACUAAACACCAAAUCCCAAUCUCAACCCUACAACCUCUGAGUCUAAAAUGUACGAGAGGGUGUUCAUUUUCUGACCGAAAAAGCCAAAAAGGUAAAGAAGGAAAUAAAUGUUUUUAAAAAAUCAAAACCACAGCAUAGUUUUUUAUAGCUGUCCUGACCAGAUUCGAGCCACUGCUCUCAUUGAUGCAAUCCACAUGGGCCCUCCACUGCACCACCAGGACCCUGCUCUACCACUACCGCUGGUUGUCAUUUAUACUCAAUUUUUAUAAUAAAUUAGGGUAUUAUUGAUACUGAGCCCCUGUAUAUAUUAGGAGUGAAGCCCCUAUUAUUGGAACUCUAGCAUCGCAGACAUAGAAUGGUUACCGGAUUGUUAGACACUUGCUAUACUAUAUACCAGGAGUGAAUGAUCAGACCGAGUUCCUAUCAUUUGAAAGUUGUUAGAAAAUGUUUAUAUGCUACUCACAUCUUACUAUUAGUUUCUUGUUGUCUCAGUUUUAUACUGUUGUUUACAAAACCACCAGUGACCGAUGAGACUAUGUUUUAUGAUUUGAUGUUUUUUUGAAAUUGUUUCAUGUCUCACUAUUUGUUUCCGUUUUCUCAGUGCAUAGUAUUGUUUGAAAUGCCAGAAGUGAAUCAUCAGUUUUGAGUUCUCAUCAUAUAUUUAGCACCAAAGGGUUUAUAAUAACUUUUUAUUAUUCGUUUCUUUUCUGAGUUUUAUGUUUAUGGCAUAGUUUAUACUAGGAGCGACGGAUCUCACUGAGUUUUCAUCAUUUGAAAUUGGGUUAAAAUGAUGUUUAAUAUACUACUGACUUUUUGUUUUCUUUCCCAGUUUUGUGGUAUAUUUUAAAGUAUUAGAAGGGACUCAUCAGUUUUAGCCUUCUAGUUUCAUGCCAGGAGUGAAUGAUCCGAAUCUCAGCUUUGUUGUGUAGUGUAAAAUACCACCAAUGACUGAUAAGACUGAGUUUUAUUGUUUCAGUUUUAUGGUGUAUUAUAUACCAAAAGUGACUUAUUAGACUGAUUUCUAAUCAUUUAAGUUUAUACCACCAGUGACUGAUCAGACC